UGGCUCUCGCAUCGAUGAAGAACGCAGCGAAAUGCGAUAAGUAAUGUGAAUUGCAGAAUUCAGUGAAUCAUCGAAUCUUUGAACGCAACUUGCACCUUUUGGUAUUCCGAAAGGUAUGCCUGUUUGAGUGUCUUGAGUACUCACACCGUGAGGUUUCUCUCGGAAGUGGAUUUGGGCGUUGCUUCCGCUCGCCUUGAAUGUCUUUGCAGGUGGAUUCCGCCUUGACGUGAUAAGUCGUCGUCAAUUGCGUUUUGAAGCCAGCACGAAUUACUUUUUAAAAGUACUCUUCUACUAGACCUCAAAUCAGGUAGGACUACCCGCUGA
rnacentral:misc_RNA from 1 species